rnacentral:tRNA from 2 species
UGGGUCGAUGCCCGAGUGGUUAAUGAGGACGGACUGUAAAUCCGUUGGCAAUAUGCCUACGCUGGUUCAAAUCCAGCUCGACCCAACCA